rnacentral:tRNA from 2 species
GCGACCGUAGUCCAGCGGUUAGGAUUUUGGCCUUCCAAGCCAACGACCCGGGUUCAAAUCCCGGCGGUCGCACCA